CGAACGCUGGCGGCGUGCUUAACACAUGCAAGUCGAACGAGAAAGCUUCCUUCGGGAAGUGAGUAGAGUGGCGCACGGGUGAGUAACGCGUAGGUAAUCUACCCUAAUAUUUGGGAUAACAUUGGGAAACUGGUGCUAAUACCGAAUACCCUUCUUUUCUGCCGGGUUAAGGAGGAAAGGUGGCCUCUUCAUGAAAGCUACCGUAUAAGGAUGAGCCUGCGUACCAUUAGCUAGUAGGUGGGGUAAUGGCCCACCUAGGCAACGAUGGUUAGCGGGUCUGAGAGGAUGAUCCGCCACACUGGAACUGGAACACGGACCAGACUCCUACGGGAGGCAGCAGUGAGGAAUAUUGCGCAAUGGGGGAAACCCUGACGCAGCGACGCCGCGUGAGUGAGGAAGGUUUUCGGAUCGUAAAGCUCUGUCAGAAGGGAAGAAGUGUUAUAUGGUUAACACCCAUAUAAUUUGACGGUACCUUCAGAGGAAGCACCGGCUAACUCC
rnacentral:rRNA from 1 species